rnacentral:rRNA from 1 species
UACGUAGGGUGCAAGCGUUAAUCGGAAUUACUGGGCGUAAAGGGUGCGUAGGCUGCACGGUAAGUCAGAGGUGAAAUCCCGGAGCUCAACUUCGGAAUUGCCUCCGAUACUGCCGUGCUUGAGGACUGGAGAGGAGACUGGAAUUUACGGUGUAGCGGUGAAAUGCGUAGAUAUCGUAAGGAAGACCAGUGGCGAAGGCGGGUCUCUGGACAGUUCCUGACGCUGAGGCACGAAGGUCAGGGGAGCAAACGGG